rfam:Pyronema omphalodes CBS 100304, CBS100304, WGS project CATG01000000 data, contig: Pcon_v1_contig348
GGCGUUGUGUCCGAGUGGUUAAGGAGAGAGAUUAGAAAUCUCUUACGUUCGCGUGCGCAGGUUCGAGUCCUGUCGACGUCG